rnacentral:rRNA from 1 species
AAGGUUGUGGCCUUGAGCCCGUGGCUUUUCGGAGCUAACGCGUUAAGUAGGCCCGCCUGGGGAGUACGGUCGCAAGAUUUAAAACUCAAAUGAAUUGACGGGGGCCCGCACAAGCGGUGGAGCAUGUGGUUUAAUUCGAUGCAACGCGAAGAACCUUACCUACUCUUGACAUCUACAGAAGCCAGCGGAGACGCAGGUGUGCCUUCGGGAACUGUAAGACAGGUGCUGCAUGGCUGUCGUCAGCUCGUGCUGUGAAAUGUUGGGUUAAGUCCCGCAACGAGCGCAACCCUUAUCCUUGUUUGCCAGCACUUCGGGUGGGAACUCCAGGGAGACUGCCGGUGAUAAACCGGAGGAAGGUGGGGACGACGUCAAGUCAUCAUGGCCCUUACGAGUAGGGCUACACACGUGCUACAAUGGCGCAUACAGAGGGCAGCCAACUUGCGAAAGUGAGCGAAUCCCAAAAAGUGCGUCGUAGUCCGGAUUGGAGUCUGCAACUCGACUCCAUGAAGUCGGAAUCGCUAGUAAUCGUGGAUCAGAAUGCCACGGUGAAUACGUUCCCGGGCCUUGUACACACCGCCCGUCACACCAUGGGAGUGGGCUGCAAAAGAAGUGGGUAGUUUAACCUUCGGGAGGACGCUCACCACUUUGUGGUUCAUGACUGGGGUGAAGUCGUAACAAGGUAACCG